CCCUUAGAUGUCCUGGGCCGCACGCGUGCUACACUGACGCCUGCAGCGAGCAACUCCGGCCCCGAGAGGCGGCCGGUAAUCCGCAAUAGGCGUCGUGAUGGGGAUAGAUCUUUGGAAUUAUGGAUCUUGAACGAGGAAUGCCUAGUAAGCGCAGGUCAUUAGCCUGCGCUGAUUAAGUCCCUGCCCUUUGUACACACCGCCCGUCGCUCCUACCGAUUUCGAGUGGUCCGGUGAAUCUUUCGGACUGAGUUCGGCUCGUGUCGAGUUCGGAAAGUCAGGUAAACCUUAUCACUUAGAGGAAGGAGAAGUCGUAACA
rnacentral:rRNA from 1 species